rnacentral:rRNA from 1 species
UACGUAGGGGGCAAGCGUUGUCCGGAAUCAUUGGGCGUAAAGAGCGUGUAGGCGGCCCGGUCAGUCCGCCGUGAAAGUCCAGGGCUCAACCCUGGAAUGCCGGUGGAUACUGCCGGGCUGGAGUCCGGAAGAGGCGAGUGGAAUUCCCGGUGUAGCGGUGAAAUGCGCAGAUAUCGGGAAGAACACCCGUGGCGAAGGCGGUUCUCUGGGAAUGUCCUGACGCUGAGGAGCGAAAGUGUGGGGAGCGAACAGG